rnacentral:lncRNA from 1 species
UUCUCUUGAGUUAAGAACACCAACAAUAUUCUUACUCGUCUUUCUCUUGUAAUUGAAAUUAUAAAAACCAAUUAAAACAUGAUGCAAUGCAUGACUCCAGAAACUGAACACGAACAGCAGCCUUAAGUUCAUGCAAACUCUAACAUUUACACUUCAAAACUUCAUCAUGCUCAUCAACCAUCUUAGAACACAAACACAUCAAAACCCUCAACAUGCAUCAUCUUCAACCUCAAACUUUCAUAAAA